rnacentral:misc_RNA from 1 species
CAGUCCCGGCGCUGCCCUCCUGUUCGAGCGGCGCAGUUAGUCCUGUUAGGAUGACCCAAACGGCAAUAGCAAGCUUGCUCUUCCUCGUGGCCCUGGCGACGGCGGAGGGCCUCGCGGGCAACGAGACCGUGCUGGCGGGCUUCCCGGCCGUGGGCCACCGCUUCCGCAACUGCCACGAGGUGCACCAGGCCAGCGCCGGCAGCGCCGACGGCGUGUACGUGGUCUUCCCGUACGACUGCUGUCCCGAGCGGCCCGUGCGCGUGUGGUGCGACAUGACGACCGACGGCGGCGGCUGGACGCUCAUCCAGCGGCGCGACGACUACGCCGAGCAGGAGGACUUCUUCCGGACGUGGACCGAGUACGUCCUGGGCUUCGGCAGCGUCGCCAAGGACCACUGGCUCGGCCUCGACCACAUCCACGCGCUCACGAGCCAGAGCCUCAGCCAGAUCCGCUUCGACCUGGUCGACUUCGAGGGCGAGUCGCGCUGGGCCAAGUACGACUUCUUCUACGUGCACGACAAGAGCGACUCCUACAAGCUCGAAGUGAACCAUUACAGCGGCGAUGCCGAAGACUCCUUCACAUCCCACAGCGGGGCAUGGUUUUCCACCAAGGACCGAGACCUUGACAUGGCGGAGUCGAGCUGCGCAGCAUCGUACAAGGGCGGCUGGUGGUACAAGAAGUGCCAUGCGACCAAUCUCAACGGCUUGUACCACAGGGGGCACCACGAGUCGUAUGCAGAUGGUAUUAACUGGUUUGACUGGCACGGGCACCAUUACUCCUUGAAGACUGUUACCAUGAAGAUCAAACCAAAGUUCUGAAAGAAUCUUGAACGAAAGAUUCUAAUUCGAAAGAUUCUUAAAUAGCAUAAAAGAUGUUCAUGUAGCAGAAAAAAAUAUAUUGUAAAAGUUCAUGUAGUAAGAAAAAAUAUUUGUUGUUGAACACUAAAGGAAAUUUUGACAUGCCAUAAUAUUUUUUUUUUUGUUAAUGUUUAGCUUUCUUCAUGUUUUUUUUACUUAAUAUUUUCGUUCACUUUACAGAAAAUGUACUGUAGUAAAAUGUGAAGAAAGUGCAAAUUGGUGCUAUUAUUUGUACAAUAAUUUUAGAAGAGUUAGUAGCAUUUUUAUUAGAAAUUUGAUGUUUCUAA